GAUGAACGCUGGCGGCGUGCCUAACACAUGCAAGUCGAACGAAGCACAUGAAUGAAUCCCUUCGGGGUGAAGUUUAUGUGACUGAGUGGCGGACGGGUGAGUAACGCGUGGGCAACCUGCCCUAUACCGGGGGACAACAGCUGGAAACGGCUGCUAAUACCGCAUAAGCGCACAGAGUCGCAUGGCUCAGUGUGAAAAACUCCGGUGGUAUAGGAUGGACCCGCGUCCGAUUAGCUAGUUGGUGGUGUAAUGGACUACCAAGGCGACGAUCGGUAGCCGGCCUGAGAGGGCGGACGGCCACAUUGGGACUGAGACACGGCCCAGACUCCUGCGGGAGGCAGCAGUGGGGGAUAUUGCACAAUGGGGGAAACCCUGAUGCAGCGACGCCGCGUGAGUGAAGAAGUAUUUCGGUAUGUAAAGCUCUAUCAGCAGGGAAGAAAAUGACGGUACCUGACUAAGAAGCCCCGGCUAACUACGUGCCAGCCGCCGCCGUAACAC
rnacentral:rRNA from 1 species